GGCGGUUCUCGGAUGACACAACCCAGAAUCGGGCUUCCUGCUCUCUGGUUCCAGGUGUGUCACCCAAGAACUGCA
rfam:Myotis brandtii contig267950, whole genome shotgun sequence.